ACUGUGUGUUGUUGGGUAGGGGAGCGUUCUGUAAGCCUGUGAAGGUGGCCUGUGAGGGUUGCUGGAGGUAUCAGAAGUGCGAAUGCUGACAUAAGUAACGAUAAAGCGGGUGAAAAGCCCGCUCGCCGGAAGACCAAGGGUUCCUGUCCAACGUUAAUCGGGGCAGGGUGAGUCGACCCCUAAGGCGAGGCCGAAAGGCGUAGUCGAUGGGAAACGGGUUAAUAUUCCCGUACUUGGUGUUACUGCGAAGGGGGGACGGAGAAGGCUAUGUUGGCCGGGCGACGGUUGUCCCGGUUUAAGCGUGUAGGUGUGUGUUCCAGGUAAAUCCGGUUCACUUUAACACUGAGGCGUGAUGACGAGGCACUACGGUGCUGAAGCAACAAAUGCCCUGCUUCCAGGAAAAGCCUCUAAGCAUCAGGUAACAUCAAAUCGUACCCCAAACCGACACAGGUGGUCAGGUAGAGAAUACCAAGGCGCUUGAGAGAACUCGGGUGAAGGAACUAGGCAAAAUGGUGCCGUAACUUCGGGAGAAGGCACGCUGACACGUAGGUGAAGUGAUUUACUCAUGGAGCUGAAGUCAGUCGAAGAUACCAGCUGGCUGCAACUGUUUAUUAAAAACACAGCACUGUGCAAACACGAAAGUGGACGUAUACGGUGUGACGCCUGCCCGGUGCCGGAAGGUUAAUUGAUGGGGUCAGCGCAAGCGAAGCUCCUGAUCGAAGCCCCGGUAAACGGCGGCCGUAACUAUAACGGUCCUAAGGUAGCGAAAUUCCUUGUCGGGUAAGUUCCGACCUGCACGAAUGGCGUAAUGAUGGCCAGGCUGUCUCCACCCGAGACUCAGUGAAAUUGAACUCGCUGUGAAGAUGCAGUGUACCCGCGGCAAGACGGAAAGACCCCGUGAACCUUUACUAUAGCUUGACACUGAACAUUGAGCCUUGAUGUGUAGGAUAGGUGGGAGGCUUUGAAGUGUGGACGCCAGUCUGCAUGGAGCCGACCUUGAAAUACCACCCUUUAAUGUUUGAUGUUCUAACGUGGACCCGUAAUCCGGGUUGCGGACAGUGUCUGGUGGGUAGUUUGACUGGGGCGGUCUCCUCCUAAAGAGUAACGGAGGAGCACGAAGGUUGGCUAAUCCUGGUCGGACAUCAGGAGGUUAGUGCAAUGGCAUAAGCCAGCUUGACUGCGAGCGUGACGGCGCGAGCAGGUGCGAAAGCAGGUCAUAGUGAUCCGGUGGUUCUGAAUGGAAGGGCCAUCGCUCAACGGAUAAAAGGUACUCCGGGGAUAACAGGCUGAUACCGCCCAAGAGUUCAUAUCGACGGCGGUGUUUGGCACCUCGAUGUCGGCUCAUCACAUCCUGGGGCUGAAGUAGGUCCCAAGGGUAUGGCUGUUCGCCAUUUAAAGUGGUACGCGAGCUGGGUUUAGAACGUCGUGAGACAGUUCGGUCCCUAUCUGCCGUGGGCGCUGGAGAACUGAGGGGGGCUGCUCCUAGUACGAGAGGACCGGAGUGGACGCAUCACUGGUGUUCGGGUUGUCAUGCCAAUGGCACUGCCCGGUAGCUAAAUGCGGAAGAGAUAAGUGCUGAAAGCAUCUAAGCACGAAACUUGCCCCGAGAUGAGUUCUCCCUGAGACUUAGAGUCUCCUGAAGGAACGUUGAAGACGACGACGUUGAUAGGCCGGGUGUGUAAGCGCAG
rnacentral:rRNA from 1 species